rnacentral:rRNA from 1 species
AUCAACUUUCGAUGGUAGGAUAGAGGCCUACCAUGGUGGUAACGGGUAACGGGGUGUUAGGGCACGACACCGGAGAGGGAGCCUGAGAAACGGCUACCACAUCCAAGGAUGGCAGCAGGCGCGCAAAUUACCCAAUCCCGACACGGGGAGGUAGUGACAAUAAAUAACAACACGGGGUUCUUUCGGAUUUCGUAAUUGGAAUGAGUACAAUUUAAAUCUCUUAACGAGGAACAAUUGGAGGGCAAGUCUGGUGCCAGCAGCCGCGGUAAUUCCAGCUCCAAUAGCGUAUAUUAAAGUUGCUGCAGUUAAAAAGCUCGUAGUUGAAUUUCGGGACCAAUAUGUCGGUCGUGCCUCGGUACGUACUGGCAUCGUUGGUUUCUCCCUUCUGACGAACCAUGAUGUCAUUCAUUUGGUGUCGUGGGGAAUCAGGACUGUUACUUUGAAAAAAUUAGAGUGUUUAAAGCAGGCUCACGCUUGAAUACAUUAGCAUGGAAUAAUGAAAUAGGACGUUUGAUUCUAUUUUGUUGGUUUCUAGGAUCGACGUAAUGAUUAAUAGGGAUAGUUGGGGGCAUUAGUAUUCAAUUGUCAGAGGUGAAAUUCUUGGAUUUAUUGAAGACUAACUACUGCGAAAGCAUUUGCCAAGGAUGUUUUCAUUAAUCAAGAACGAAAGUUAGGGGAUCGAAGACGAUCAGAUACCGUCGUAGUCUUAACCAUAAACUAUGCCGACUAGGGAUCGGAUGAUGUUAAUUUUUUAAUGACUCAUUCGGCGCCUUACGGGAAACCAAAGUGUUUGGGUUC